CUAAUGACAAACAAGCUAAGCAUAAAACAAUAUCAAGAAGAAAAUAUCAAGAAGAAGAGGACAAUCGCCCUCAAAUCCACUGCUCAACUCGAUGAAGAAUCCAAUGAAAUAGAAAAUGAAGAGCAAGAUGAAGAAAUAGCCCUCAUCCCUAGAAAGUUUAAAAGAUUUUUGAAGAAAAAAAAUAAGGGAUGAGGAAGAGGCCACC
rnacentral:lncRNA from 1 species